rnacentral:rRNA from 1 species
UACUGGUGUGAAUUGCAGAAUCCCGUGAACCAUCGAGUCUUUGAACGCAAGUUGCGCCCGAAGCCAAUAGGCCGAGGGCACGUCUGCCUGGGUGUCA